rnacentral:rRNA from 1 species
AACGAACGCUGGCGGCGUGCUUAACACAUGCAAGUCGAACGAGAAAGGGGCUUCGGCCCCGAGUAGAGUGGCAGACGGGUGAGUAACACGUGGGUAACCUACCCCUUGGCGGGGGAUAACCAUUCGAAAGGAUGGCUAAUACCGCAUAAGACCACGUUUCUUAGGGGAUGUGGUAAAAGGCUUCGGCCACCGAGGGAGGGGCCCGCGUCCGAUUAGCUAGUUGGUGAGGUAACGGCUCACCAAGGCGACGAUCGGUAGCUGGUCUGAGAGGAUGAUCAGCCACACUGGUACUUUGACACGGACCAGACUCCUACGGGAGGCAGCAGUGGGGAAUAUUGCGCAAUGGGCGAAAGCCUGACGCAGCAACGCCGCGUGGGUGAAGAAGGCCUUCGGGUCGUAAAACCCUGUCAGAUGGGAAGAAACCUGCGCAAGCAGCUGACGGUACCAUCAGAGGAAGCACCGGCUAACUCCGUGCCAGCAGCCGCCGUAAAAC